GAUGAACGCUAGCUACAGGCUUAACACAUGCAAGUCGAGGGGAAACGAUAUUGGAAGCUUGCUUCCGAUAGGCGUCGACCGGCGCACGGGUGAGUAACGCGUAUCCAAGCGGCCCACCACUUGGGGAUAACCUUGCGAAAGUAAGACUAAUACCAAAUGAUAUCUCUAGAAGACAUAUGAAGGAGAUUAAAGAAUUAUCGGAGAUGUAUGGGGAUGCGUCGGAUUGUCUUGUUGGCGGGGUAACGGCCCACCAAGGCGACGUUCAGUAGGGGUUCUGAGAGGAAGGUCCCCCACAUUGGAACUGAGACACGGUCCAAACUCCUACGGGAGGCAGCAGUGAGGAAUAUUGGUCAAUGGGCGAGAGCCUGAACCAGCCAAGUAGCGUGCAGGAUGACGGCCCUAUGGGUUGUAAACUGCUUUUAUAAGGGAAUAAAGUGAGUCUCGUGAGACUUUUUGCAUGUACCUUAUGAAUAAGGACCGGCUAAUUCCGUGCCAGCCGCCGCCGUAA
rnacentral:rRNA from 1 species